rnacentral:rRNA from 1 species
AAACAUCGCCUCUUGUAUAACUAUAAGAGGCACCGCCUGCCCGGUGGUACAAUAUUUAACGGCCGCGGUAUUUUGACCGUGUGAAGGUAGCGCAACCACUUGUCUUUUAAAUGAAGACCCGUAUGAAUGGCAAAACGAAGGCUAACCUGUCUCAUUCCUCUAGUCAAUGAAAUUGAUCUCCCCGUGCAGAAGCGAGGAUACUAACAUAAGACGAAAAGACCCUGUGGAGCUUUAGAUCCUGUUCCUAUCUUAGGUUGGGGUGACCGCGGAGUAAACCUCCGGAUUAACUAGAAUCAUACUUCAAAGUUUUAGAAUUUCUAAUCUUUUGAUCCGGCUCGCCGAUUAAUAAAAUAAGUUACCCCAGGGAUAACAGCGCAAUCCCCUUUCAGAGUUCUUAUCGACAAGGGUGUUUACGACCUCGAUGUUGGAUCAAGACAUCCUAAUGGCGCAGCAGCUAUUAAAGGUUCGUUUGUUCAACGAUUAAAGUCCUACGU